UGGGGAAUUUUGGACAAUGGGCGAAAGCCUGAUCCAGCAAUGCCGCGUGUGUGAAGAAGGCCUUCGGGUUGUAAAGCACUUUUGUCCGGAAAGAAAUCCUUGGCUCUAAUACAGUCGGGGGAUGACGGUACCGGAAGAAUAAGCACCGGCUAACUACGUGCCAGCAGCCGCGGUAAUACGUAGGGUGCAAGCGUUAAUCGGAAUUACUGGGCGUAAAGCGUGCGCAGGCGGUUUGCUAAGACCGAUGUGAAAUCCCCGGGCUCAACCUGGGAACUGCAUUGGUGACUGGCAGGCUAGAGUAUGGCAGAGGGGGGUAGAAUUCCACGUGUAGCAGUGAAAUGCGUAGAGAUGUGGAGGAAUACCGAUGGCGAAGGCAGCCCCCUGGGCCAAUACUGACGCUCAUGCACGAAAGCGUGGGGGAGCAAAACAGGAUUAGAUACCCUGGUAGUCCACGCCCUAAAACGAUGUCAACUAGUUGUUGGGGAUUCAUUUCCUUAGUAACGUAGCUAACGCGUGAAGUUGACCGCCUGGGGAGUACGGUCGCAAGAUUAAAACUCAAAGGAAUUGACGGGGUCAUAGCU
rnacentral:rRNA from 1 species